rnacentral:lncRNA from 1 species
CUAGCAUGUAUGAGGCACUGGGUUCAAUCCUCAGCACCACAUAAAAAUAAAUAAAAUAAAGGCAUUGUGUCCACCUGCAACCAAAAAUAAUUUUUAAAAAUAUAAUUACUAUGUUUUAUUUUGCUGAUAACUCUCAAUAAUCCCAUUACUAAAAUAACAUAAGUAUUUAAUAUGAAAUAUAUGAAUCAUUUCUAGUAUUUAGCAGCAGAAACAGAGUUUCUUGGGUAUUAUAUAUAUUCUCCUGCAUCUAUCGUUAUUUUGGAUAAUGGAUAUGUGAAAUAGACUUGAAUAUCCAUAUAAAAAUCAGACUUCAAGCAGUUUCUGUAAAAUCUUUUAUGUCUCCUAUUAAAUAGAUCUUGAUUUACUUAAUUACUAGUUCUUAAUAAUCAGUUCAAUAAACCAUCCAAUAUCUAUAUUUAGAUAUUUUUAUUUAGCAUUUACUAUAUAUUAGGUACUAUUUUAAGUACUAGAGAAUUAACUGACGUAAAAGACAGAAUUCUUGUGUUCAACAAGUUGAAAUUCUGGUGAUUGGAGUUUGACCAUAAUAAAAUAAUUCCAAAUAUACAUAACUGACACAAAAAGAAUCCUGUAGUAGGAUGUGAUGAGAGUUAGUCACAAGUUAGGAAAGGCGUUUCAGAGGAACAAUAGUUCAAAGAGAUCAAAGGAGAGGAUUUUUUUUUAAAGGACAUGAUAUUAAGACUGGCACUCUGGGUAGGUUUGUAGAUAUUAAAAGUAUAACAAAGUUUAUUACAAAAGAAAGAAGAAGGUCGGGGAAGCAUCCUCAAGAGAGAGAGAGGGUCCUCUCAGAGAAGAGAGCAACACCUUCCUUCUUUGUGCUCCAGAUUUUAUUGGGGAUUGUAGGGGAAAUUCCAGAAGGUCUUGCCUGAGCACCACCUCCUAGCUCUUAACUGGCAGUUGGAUUGCAUCAGGUUUCUAAAUCCCUGUUUUGUAUGUCUUACUCAUGAGUGUCUAAGUGAAAUCCAAAGGAGUGAAAAUUUAUAAUUGUAAUAAGAUUUAAAAAUAUGCCAAGUAACCUAAAGCAACUUUGACCAUUUUGGUCCAUGGCAGCUGAUUUUGUCUAGAACUUGAUAUAACAGACCUUGAAACCACUGAGCUCUGUAGUCUUCAGUCAGUGCAAUUUGUUUUCCUCUUAUCAAAGGAGGAAUCUUGGACAAACACUUCUCAAUCCUAUGAAAAAUAUGUUGUUACAGGGAUAUUAAGGACCAGAAAUACUAUGUGUAAGUUUUUUCUUUAAGAACAUGUUAAGUGCUGACACAUAGGCUCAGUCUAUAGAAUUAAGUCAUUUUCCACGUUCCCAUUGCUUAUGUCUACCUUUCUUUAUCAUUUUUUUUUCCUUUGCUGGAGAAAGUAACAAGUUAUCAGAUAAGUGUAAAGAGCAAUACUGAGAUGUAUGUAUGGAGAGCAAGGAGACAUAAACUAGUUAAUCUAGAAGAAGUGGGGGAACUUACUGGAAGGAGAGUAGUAUUUGACAUUGUUGUUUGCCCCUUUCAAAGUGAAGCAGUUAUGGCCACCAUGGUGAUGUGAUUUGUGUGUGUGCAUGUUUGCAUAUGAGUGCCAUAUUCUCCAGUAAGGAAACAAUUAGAUUGGGGUGUUGAUAGGGAGUAAAUUGUUAUGGUGGUAGACUUAGGAAUCUAGGCUGGGUAAGGAGGGAAAAGGACAGCCGGACUGUAGUUAGUGAAAUAUUGGUGUGGUCAUUGACUAGAAGUCAAUAUUAAUGAAGUCAGGAAAUUAUUGGAAUGAGUAUUGUAUAGUAAAUAAGUUGGAUGGUGAGGGUCAGAGAACAGAAAGUUUAAAAUUGGGAUUUCAAGGUUUUAUACAGUUAUUAAUAAUAAUGAUAUGCAGACCAUAGACAUGAUGCUGAGGUUUAGAGAAAUAGAUGUUUAGAGCUAUGGAUGUUAGAAAAUCAAGAGGGAAUGGAAUUGGAAGGUUUACUUUUGAGAUGUGGAAGUUCUCAAGAAUAAAAAGAGUAGUGGUAGAAAGUAGAUUCUAAAUUUGUCAAUGAAUGAGCAGAGAUGACUGGAAAGCAACAGGUAAUAUUAACAAGGUGGGGAAGGUGUAAUAACACCUGGUAAUGUAUUUCAAAGGGAGCUGAGGUUUUUAAUGGAAUGGGAAGAGACUGUGGGGUGGGAAAUGAUAUUGGCCAUCUCUGUGGAAAUAUGCCUUGUCUCUAGGUUUUGAGAUAUGAGGGAAAUAAGAGGAAAGUAGCAUCCAUUUGAGAAGGCUACAGAGGAUGCAAUAUCCUCAGGGGACAUCAGAUUUCUCUUAUGGUAAGGGAAAUAUCCAGAGGAAGGGGAGUUUACUGAUAAUUAGAUUUGUCAUAUAAAUUAGGACACUUUUUUCAAUUGGAUGGGGACUAGAAAAACAGUAAAAUGAUAUAGUAUUUGCUAAACAGGGUAACAUAAUUACACUGUUGAUGACCAUGAGUUAUAAAAAAUAGAGUGGAAGGAUUUGUAAGAAUAUGAAGGAGGUAGGAAAUGGAUUGUAUAGAAAAACCUAGAGGUCAGUCGAUAUAAAGAAAACUAGACUAGAAGAUUUGUACUUCUGAUUGCGUGGCGAUGACUUGCUGUGUAAGAUAAAGGAUUCACCCUGAGGUGAGAACAUGCAGUGUUUAAAUCCUCCAGAUGAUUGUUUAUGGGGAAGUAACUGAUGUGGAGAUAUAAAGUGAUGAAGAUUAUAUGACACAUUUAAUAUACUGGAGGUGUGAAUUAGUCUAAAGGAUAUAUAAAGACAUUUUUCAUAUGAGAGUAUAAAGUUUGAUUAUAUGACUACCUUAUUUAUUUAUUAUCAUUUUCCAAAGUCUUUGACACAGUUUUAUUAUUACUAGUUUAUUGGAUUGAAUUUUUUAGGUGCUUAUGUAUACCUGCCUCACUUAAUUUACCCUUGUGCUUUUAAUAGACACUUGGUAAAGUAUUUUUAAUCACGUGACCUGCUAAAGGCUCAAAACAGAGCACAUUCUGGGAAUUCUGUAGAGAUUUAGGGAGAGGAAAAUUAAGCCAAACCACAUGUUCUUGAAUUUAAAAAGCUAAUAUGACAGAUUAUAGUUCAAGUUAAGAGGCCUAAGGAGGCAUCAUGUGAAAGUUCCUUUCUAGUGAAUCAUAGGGUACAGGAGCUAGAGAGUUAUGUUUUAAAAUAAUCAAUAUGCUAUGUGAAAAUAAAUGAUAGUAUGCAAAUCAAUGGAAGACUGGAGGUGAACCAUAAACAAAAAGCAAUAUUUUAGGUUGGCAGCUUGACUCAUAUCAGAAAAAAAAAAGUCUUGCAAAUACAACAAUUAAAAAUUCUCAGUAAAAAUUCCCCAAGCAAUAAUAAAAAAUGUGUGAGAUCAUUUGAAAGUAAGAUCUUAACCUUCAAGAAAGGACUCCACCUUGAAUGACAUUUAUUUUAUGCAGCUUUUAUCCUGAGAACCCUUUCCAGUCCACACAGCAGAGGAAGAGUAGAACUAAGGACAGAGUUUGUUACUGUAGAGAGAAUGGAAAUUGAGUGUGUGUGAGGGGGGCGAUGGGGACAAUGGGUACCCUAAAAUAUGCAUAGAGCCUGCUGUUAAAUUAUUGGCUGACCUAUGAAUUUUGCCUGAGUGAGUGAGAUUCCAAGCAUCAAGGGAAAAUAAAGUGUAAGACAAGAGAGCUGGGCAGAGAUUUCAGCAGGUUGCCAACCUCAAUGGAGACAGUGUUGGAAGGUCUGAAUUUUUCCAAGUUAGAGAGAUCUGGUGUAGACCUAAUGCUUCCCAUCCAUUGAAACCACAUUUUUAGAAAAAAAAAAAAAACCUGAAUUUCAGGACUAAGUGAUUAGUUCUAGGACUAAUAGCAAAACAGAUAUAGAUCUCACCUUAACAGUGUAAAUCAAGCCUGCAAAAAUUCAAGGUGAUUAACUAUUAGAACAAAAAUCAACACUCUUCAGAAGAAGACAGUAGGUACAGAGUUUCUACAAUGUUCAUAGAAAAUAAUCCCUAAUAGAUUAUAGGAAAGUCUGAAUAUAAUUGGAAGAAAGGUGGAAGAAUUUAAAGGGAGAUUUGUUAAAAUCCUAUUUAUGUAUCUGUGUAUAUAACCAAAUUCUAGAACUGAAAAGUAUAAUAUCUGCAAUGGGAAAUUUAUUGGAUAGAAUUAAGAACAAAACGGACAGAACAGGAAAAACAAUUAUUAAAUUUGAAGAUACGUUUACAGAAAUAUCCAAACUUGAGCAUAGAAAGCAUACAAUUAAAAGAAAAAACAAAAAAUUAGUACACCAAUGAUUUAUGGAACAAUAUUAAAUGACUGAAUAUGUUUAAUUGCAGGGAAAGACUAUAUCAGGAAAAACAUUUGAAGAAGUAACAGACUAUAGGUCCAGAAAGCUCCACAAGCAGGAUAAAUCCAAAGAAAGUCAUAAUUAGACAUCAGACUGAGAAGAGAAAAUAAUCUUAAAAGCAUACAGAUAUAAAGAAUACAUUAUAUACAGGGAAUAAUCAUAAAAGUUAUAUCUAACCCCAUCAGAAAUAAAAGAGGCCAGAAGACUACAGAAGAUAUUUUAAAUGUUCUGGGGUGGGAGAUGGCUAUCAGACUAGAAUUAUAUCCUACAAAAAUAUCUUUUAAAAGAAAAGACAGAGGGCUGGGGUUGUGGCUUAAAGGUAGAGUGCUUGCCUAGCCUGUAUGAGGUACUGGGUUCUAUCCUCAGCACCGCAUAAGAAUAAAAUGAAGGUACUGUGUCUACCAACAACUAAAAAAUAAAUAUAAAAAAAAAGUAAAGACAUUUCUGCAAGGGGUUGUGGCUCAGUGGUAGAGCUCUUGCCUAGCACAUGUGAAGCGCUGGGUUCAAUCUUCAGCACCAGACAAAAAUAAAUUUUAAAAAAAAGUAUAAAGAAAAAAGUAAAGAUAUUUCUAAUGAACCAAAUCCAAGAGAAUUCAUGCCUAGCAGUCGUGUACAAGAAAUUCUAAAGGAUAUUCUUGAAAAUUUUUGAAGGGAAAUGAAGGGAAAUAAUACAAGAUGGAAAUUGGAUCUACAAAAGGAAAUGGCAUUAUUUUUUUUUAUUAGCUACGCAUGACAUUGCAAUGAUCUUGGCAGUUCAUACAUUUGAAUCAAUUGGGGUAUAAUUUUUCAUUUGUCUGAUUGUACAGAUUGCAGAAUCACAUUGGUCAUACAGUCACCUAUAUACAUACAGCAAUCAUAAUGUCUAUUUUAUUCUGCUGUCCUUCCUAUCCCCCCUUCCCCUCCCCUCCCCUCCCAUCACUUCUCUCUAUCCAAUCUAAUGUGACACAGUUUUUUUUUUCUUUUUCUCCUCACAACAUCAUACAUGUAUUCUGUAUAACGAUGAGGGUCUCCUUCCAUCUUCUGUGCAAUUCCCCUUCUCCCUCCUUUUCCCUCCCACCUCUCUUCCCUAUUUAGUGGUAAUCAUCUUCUCAUGCUCUUCCUCCCUGCUCUGUUCUUAGUUGCUAUCCUUAUAUCAAAGAAGACAUUCAGCAUUUGUUUUUUAGGGAUUGGCUAAUUUCACUUAGCAUAAUCUCCUCUAAUGCCAUCCAUUUCCCUGCAAAUGCCAUGAUCUUGUUAUUUUUUAGUGCUGACUAAUAUUCCAUUAUGUAUAAAUGCCACAUUUUUUAAUCCAUUCCUCUAUUGAAGGUCAUCUAGGUUGGUUCCACAGUCUAGCUAUUGUGAAUUGUGCUGCUAUAAACAUUGAAGUGGCUGUGUCCCUGUAGUAUACUAUUUUUAGGUCUUUUGGGUAUAGUCCGAGAAGGGGAAUAGCUGGGUCAAAUGGUGUUUCCAUUCCCAGAUUUCCAAGGAAUCUCCAUACUGCUUUCCAAAUUGGCUGCACCAAUUUGUAAUCCCACCAGCAAUGUAUGAGUGUACGUUUUCCCCCGCAUCCUUGCCAGCACUUAUUGUUGUUUGACUUCAUAAUGGCUGCCAUUCUUAUUGGAGUGAGAUGGUAUCUUAGAGUGGUUUUAAUUUGCAUGUCUCUGAUUGCUAGAGAUGGUGAGCCUUUUUUCGUGGUAUUUGUUGAUUGAUUGUAUAUCCUCCUCUGAGAAGUGUCUGUUCAGAUCCCUGGCCCAUUUGUUGAUUGGGUUAUUUGUUUUCUUGUUGUUUAAUUUUUGGAGUUCUUUGUAUACUCUGGAGAUUAGAGCUCUACCUGAAGUGUGAGGGGUAAAUAUUUGUUCCCAGGAUGUAGGCUCCCUAUUUACCUCUCUUAUUGUUUCUCUUGCUGAGAAAAAACUUUUUAGUUUGAGUAUGUCCCAUUUGUUGAUUUUUGAUUUUAACUCUUGUGCUAUAGGUGUCCUAUUAAGGAAUUUGGAGCCCGACCCCACGAGAUGGAGAUUAGAGCCAACUUUUUUUCUAUCAGACGCAGAGUCUCUGGUUUGAUUCCUAGCUCCUUGAUCCAUUUUGAGUUGACUUUUGUGCAUGGUGAGAGAAAGGGAUUCAAUUUCAUUUUGUUGCAUAUGGAUUUCCAGUUCUCCCAGCACCAUUUGUUGAAGAUGCUAUCCUUUCUCCAUUGCAUGGUUUUAGCACCUUUGCCUAAUAUAAGGUAGUUGUAAUUUUGUGGAUUUGUCUCUGUGUCCUCUAUUCUGUACCAUUGGUCUACCAGCCUGUUUUGGUGCCAGUACCAUGCUGUUUUUGUUACUAAUGCUCUGUAGUAUAGUUUAAAAUCUGAAAUCGCAAUACCACCAGUUUCACUCUUCCUGCUUAGAAUUACUUUAACUAUUCUGUGUCUCUUAUUUUUCCAGAUGAAUUUCAUGAUUGCUUUUUCUAUUUCUGCAAGGAAUGCCAUUGGGGUUUUGAUGGGAAUUGCAUUGAAUCUGUAAAGUGCUUUUGGUAAUAUGGCCAAUUUAAUAAUAUUAAUUCUGCCUAUCCAGGAGCAAGGUAUAUCCUUCCAUCUUCUAAGAUCUUCUUCUAUUUCUUUCUUUAGGGUUCUGUAGUUUUCAUUGUAUAGAUCUUUCACCUCUUUUGUUAGAUUGAUUCUCAGGAAUAUUACUUUUUUUGAGGAUAUUGUGAAUGGGGUAGUUGUCCUCAUUUCCAUUUCAGAGAAUUUGUCACUGAUAUACAGUAAUGCCUUUGAUUUAUGGGUAUUAAUUUUAUAUCCUGCCACUUUGCUGAAUUCAUUUACCAGUUCUAGGAGUUUCUUGGUUGAACUUUUGGGGUCUUCUAGGUAUAGGAUCAUGUCAUCGGCAAAUAGUGCUAAUUUAAGUUCUUCUUUUCCUAUAUUUAUGCCUUUAUUUCUUUUGUCUGUCUAAUUGCUCUGGCUAGUGUUUCAGGAACUAUGUUGAAUAGAAGUGGUGAGAGAGGGCAUCUCUGUCUUGUUCCAGAUUUUAGAGGGAAUGCCUUUAAUUUUUCUCCAUUUAGAAUGAUGCUGGCCUGAGUCUUAGUGUAUAUAGCUUUUUCCAUGUUGAGGUAAUUUCCUGUUAUCCCUAAUUUUUCUAGUGUUUUGAACAUAAAGGGAUGCUGUAUUUUGUUGAAUGCUUUUUCUGCAUCUAUUGAGAUGAUCUUUAAGUCUAUGGUGAAUUACAUUUAUUGAUUUCCGUAUAUUGAACCAGCCUUGCAUCCCAGGGAUGAAUCCCACUUGGUCAUGGUGCAAGAUCUUUUUGAUAUGUUUUUGUAUCUGAUUUGCCAGAAUUUUAUUGAGGAUUUUUGCAUCUAUAUUCAUUAGGGAUAUUGGUCUGAAGUUUUCUUUCUUUGAAGUGUCUUUAUCAGGUUUUGGAAUUAGGAUGAUGUUGGCCUUGUAGAAUGAAUUUGGAAGUACUCCCUCUUUUUCUAUUUCCUGAAAUAGAUUGAAGAAUAUUGGUAUUAGUUCUUCUUUAAAGGUCUUGUAAAACUUUGCUGUAUAUCCCUCCUGUCCUGGGCUUUUCUUGGUUGGUAGUCUUUUGAUGGCUUCUUCUAUUUCCUCAAUUGAUAUUGGUCCAUUUAGGUUGUAUAUAUCAUCCUGAUUCAAUCUGGGUAGAUCGUAUGCCUUAAGGAAUUUAUUGAUGCCUUCACUAUCCUCUAUUUUAUUAGAGUAUAGGGUUUCAAAAUAAUUUCUAAUUAUCUUCUGUAUUUCUGAAGUGUCUGUUGUGAUGUUGCCUUUUUCAUCCCGUAAGCUAGUAAUUUGGGUUCUCUCUCUUCUUCUUUUUGUUAGCAUGGCUGGUGGUCUAUCAAUCUUAUUUAUUUUUUCAAAGAACCAACUUUUAGUUUUGUUAAUUUUUUCAAUUGUUUCUUUUGUUUCAAUUUCAUUGAUUUCAGCUCUGAUUUUAAUUAUUUCUUGCCUUCUACUGUAUUUGCUGCUGAUUUAUUCUUCUUUUUCUAGGGCUUCGAGAUGUAGUGUGAGGUCAUUUAUUUGUUGGCUUUUCCUUCUUUUAAGGAAUGAACUCCAUGAAAUGAAUUUUCCUCUUAGUACUGCUUUCAUAGUGUCCCAGAGAUUUCGAUAUGUUGUGUCUUUCAUUUACCUCUAAGAAUAUUUUAAUUUCCUCUUUGAUGUCUUCUGUAACCCUUUGUUCAUUCAGUAGCAUAUUGUUUAUUCUCCAUGUGAUGUACAGAUUUUUCUUCCUUAUUUUAUCAUUGAUUUCCAAUUUCAUUCAUUGUGAUCAGAUAAAAUGCAUGGUAGUAUCUCUACUCCUUUGUAUUUGCUAAGAUUUGCCAUGUGACAUAAUAUAUGGUCUAUUUUUGAGAAUGAUCCAUGUGCUGCUGAGAAAAAAGUGUAUCCACUUGAUGUUGGGUUGUAUAUUCUAUAUAUGUCAAUUAAGUCUAAUAUUAUUGAGCUCUAUAGUUUCUUUUUUCAACUUUUGUUUGGAAGAUCUGUCCAGUGGUUAGAAAGGUGUGUUAAAAUCUCCCAUGAUUAUAGUGUUGUGGUCUAUUUGACUCUUGAACUUGAGAAGAGUUUGUUUGAUGAACAUAGCUGCACCAUUGUUUGGGGCAUAUAUAUUAAUGAUCAUUAAGUCUUGUUGGUGUAUGGUUCCCUUGAGCAGUAUGUAGAGUCCUUCUUUAUCCCUUUUGAUUAACUUUGGCUUGAAGUCUAUUUUGUUUAAUAUGAGUUUGGACACCCCUACUUGCUUCCGAGGUCCAUGUGAGUGGUAUGAUUUUUCCCAACCUUUCACCUUCAGUCUGUGUAUGUCUUUUCCUAUCAGAUGAGUCUCCUGUAGGCAGCAUAUUGUUGGAUCUUUUUUUUAAAAUCCAGUCUAUUAGCCUAUUUAAGCCAUUAACAUUUAUGGUUACUAUUGAGAUAUGGUUUGUACUUCUAGCCAUAUUUGUUUAUUUAUGUAACUUAACAUGAUUUGUUUUUCCUCUUUGAUUAGUUUUUCCUUUACUGUCCUACCUCCCGCUGUUGGUUUUCAUUGUUAUUUUUCAUUUCCUCUUCCUGUAAUAUUUUGCAAAGGAUGUUUUGAAGAGAUGGUUUUCUAGCUGCAAAUUCUUUUAACUUUUGUUUAUUGUGGAAGAUUUUUAUUUCAUCUUCAAUCCUGAAGUUUAUUUCACUGGAUACAUGAUUCUUGGUUGGAACCCAUUUUCUUUCAGCGUUUGAAAUAUGUUGUUCCAGGAUCUUCUAGCUUUCAGAGUCUGUGUUGAAAGAUCAGCUGUUAUCCUGACUGGCUUACCCCUAAAUGUAAUCUGCUUACUUUCUCUUGUGGCUUUUAAGAUUCUCUCCUUAUUCUGUAUGUUGGGCAUCUUCAUUAUAAUGUGUCUAGGUGUGGAUCUCUUAUGAUUUUGCACAUUCGGCGUCCUGUAGGCUUCUAGGAUUUGGAAUUCUGUUUCAUUCUUCAAGUCUGGGAAGUUUUCUCGUAUUAUUUUAUUGAACGGAUUGCUCAUUCCUUUGGUUUGGACCUCUUAUAUCCUCUUAAGUUUGGUCUCUUUAUGUUAUCCCAUAUUUCUUGGAUGUUCUGCUCAUGGUUUCUUAACAUUCUCGCUGAGCUGUCUAUGUUCUUUUCAAGUUGAAAUACUUUGUCUUCAUUGUCUGAUGUUCUAUCUUCUAAGUGUUAUACUCUGCUGGUAAUACUCUCAUUUGAACUUUUAAUUUGGUUCAUUGUUUCCUUCAUUUCCAAGAUUUCUGUUUGUUUGUUAUUUUUUUUUAAUAAUCUAUCUCCCUGUAGAGUUGAUCUUUUGCUUCUUGGAUUUGUUUAUGUAAUUCAUUGUCAAAGUGAUCUUUCAUUGUCUGAUUUUGCUGUCUAAUGUCUUCCUUGAGACUCCAGAUCAUCUGAAGCAUGUAUAUCCUGAACUCUUUAUCUGACAUUCCAUCUGCUGCAGAUAUUACCCCUUCUAAUAUUGAAUUGACCUACAUUGUUUGUGGUUCUUUCUUUCCUUGUCUUUUCAUACUGCUCAUGUUUCUUUCCAGCUUUGUGAAACUGUUGUGUUAAUGAUUUCCCCCUUAUAUAUUUAUAUUGCUCUUGUAUAGCUCCAAAUCUCUAUUUUGUUGAGAAAGACAAUGUUGACAAUUCCCAAUAUCAAUAGUACAUCAUCUAAGCACAAAUUUUCAUUAUUAAUACAUUUAUAGUUAGACUCUAAGUCUACAGAUAUUGGCUUCAAAUAUUAUUUAAAAAUAUAGUCAUUAGUUUCAUAAAAGGCAUACCAUUUCUGGUGGCAUAUAAAAAACUGAAUUUCAGACGUAGGAUGUUUUGCUUAGGGGGAAAGGAGUGAGGGUAUGAGGUUAAUCUAACUUCGCAACUUUGGAGAACUCUAACCAAUAGACUGGUAAUUUAUGGAAGAAUGUAGAGAUUCAACCUCCUAUCUGUAUUUAGUAAGUUACCCUACGUAUAGAUAGUAAAAGGGGGUUGAAAGUGGGAUAGAGGGAGUAAGAAUGAAGAAAAAAAUAUCAAGGAAGAAAAGAGAAAAAAGAGAGAGGGAAAAAGAAAAUAAGAAAGAAAAAAGAAAAAGAAAAAAGGGGGGGAGGUGGGGCAUAUGCAAUUUCUCUAUAUUAUAUUAUUCUGGUGAUUCAGUUGUUAAAAGUCCUAUUUCAUGCACAGUUCUUGGUUUCACAUAUUUUGAGGUUGUGAAAGAGAGAGAAGAAAAGGUAGAAAAAAAAGUCUCUCAGAACACUGUUUUCCUUUCUUCUAGUAGGUGGGGUUGUCUAUUCCUAGCUUGAGCCUCUGUGUUCGUGGUGGUGGAUGUAGCCAGUGUGAAAGGACAUGAGCUUCCACCUGUAGCCUCCCUACUCUACUCUCUGAGAUGGAAACCAGGUGCCUAUACAGUUUUUGUUUUGCGUUGAUAGCUACACUCCCCCCAAAAGCUUGUGGGAAAAAUUUUGAGUUAUUGCAGCUAAGGGCGGCGGAGUUGGAAACUGGGUACCUGGAUCAGCCGCAGAACCGUGCUGGUAGCCACACCCCCGGUUGAUAGGUUUUAAGGGUUGAUGGGCUUCCUCCCAUCUGGCGGGCGGGGGCCAGGGCUGGGCUUCCUCCUCCAGUCUCGGCAUUAUGUUUUACUACUGAAAAUGCUAAAUAAUACUAUUAUAAAACUAUAAAAUAAUGAUAUAAAGACAAAUUUUGUCUAUUUUUCUGCCAUUUAAAAAUUCUUUAAAAGCAAUUGUUUAAAGCAAAAAUAGUAAAAACAUUAUGGGAUUUAUAUUAAAUAUGUAGAAGUAAAAUAUAUGACAGUAAUAAAUAAUUCAAAGGAAUGUAAUUUUGCUUUCAAAGUGAUAUGAUAUUAAUUUACAAGAUAAGGAAGCAUAUUGUAAUUCCUAUAUUUUCUGUGUUUAUUAUGGUAGUCAUUAACCACACCUGACUAUUUUCAUUCAUUUAAAACUUAAUUAACUUAAUAUAUACAGUUCCUCAGUUGCUCUGGCCAUAUUUAAGCUGUUCCACAGCCAUAUAUGAUCAGUGAUUAUUGUGUUUAACAAAGAUAUAGAAUAUUUCUAUUGUCAGAGGAAGUUUUAUUAUAUAGUACCUCCUUGGAACAGCUGCUAAAAAUCAAUAAUUCAAGAAGGCAUAAAGUAAAAAGUCAAUAAGGGAAAUAAAAUGAAACACCAUGAAAAAGUAAACAUAUAUUCAAUUAAUCCUAAGUAAGGUAGGAAAAAAAGAAUAGUAAUAAAGAACAGAGGUGAGAAAUAGAAAACAAAAGUAAUAUUGGAUUUAAAUCUAUCUAUAUUAUUAAUUACAUUACAUAUAAAUGGACUAAACAUUCAAAUUGAAAGACAUAAUUACUCACACUGAAUAAAUGUGAGAAACAAAUGUAUGCCAUUUAUAACAGGUACCAGACAUGAAUAUUUAAAAAAAAAUCUUGAAGGUAAAAGCAGAAAAAAGAUAUACUGUGCCAAUCAAAAAACUAGUGUAUCUAUCUUAAUCUCAUAUAAAAUGGACUGCAUGCAAAGAUUAUCAGAGUUAAAGAGGAUCAGUUCAUUAGGAUAAAAUAAUUCUAAAUGUGUGCGUACCAAUAUCAGAGUUUAUAAAUACAUGAAGCAAAAUAUGACAGAACUAAGGGAGAAAUACAAAAUCCAUAAUCAUUGGUGGAAUUUUAAAUGAUCUUCUCUUAGUAUUUUGUAAACAAAUAGUAAAGAUGUAGAAAAUUUUGAACAAUUGUCAACCUAUUUGACCUAAUUGACAUUUGUAGAGCAUUAUGCUGCAAAACUCAGGAUAUAUUAGGUUUUUUAAGUGCAAAUAGAACAUUCAGGACAGACUAUCUUCUGGAUCUUAAACAAGUCUUAACAUAAAACUACAAAGGAUGGAAAGCCAACAGAGCAUGUUCCCUGAUACAGUGGAAAUUAAUUUGAAAUCAAUAACUGACAAUUUUAAAUAACUUCUGGGUCAAAAAAGUUAUGAUGUAAAUUAAUAAAUAUUUUGAAAGUAGUUAUAAUGACAAUUUGUGAGAUACAUUUAAAGCAGUUGAUAAAGGGAAAUUUUGUAGCUUAAAUAUUUUAUAUUAGAAAAGGAGAUAGUUUUAAAAAUUAUCUACUAUGAUUUGCAUGUCCUCUCCAAAACUUUUUUUUAUGUUGAAAUGAAUUGCCACUAUAACAUUAUUAAGAGGUGAGAACUUUAAGAGGGAUUAGGCCAUGAGGGUUUCUGCCUCCUAAGUGGGAUUGGUAUCCUUAUAUAAUAUGGCAAGCUUGUCUCCUUGCUCUGUUGCACUUUUUCCUUCCAUCAUGUGAUGAUGCAAAAAGAAGGCCCUUACCAGAUGUCAAGCUGUCAAUCUUGAAUUUCUAAUUUUUCAGAUCUGUAAGAAAAUCAAUUUCUAUUUUUUUAAGAGGCCCAACCUGUGGUAUUCUGUUAUAGCAGCACAAAACUGAGUAAUACAUAUUUGUGAUUUGACCUUAUAUUAGGGUUAAGUUUGAGAAGCAGAAUCAAUAUUGUUACGAAAAAAGAAUUUCUUAUAGUAAGACCUUAUACAAUUAUGGGUGGAACUGAAAAAGCUUCCUGAGGCACUGGUAGAGGUGGGCAAGUGAGAUCUUGAAGGGAAGUAUCUGAGAAGUGAAGCACUAUUUGCACCAAAGUGAGAAUGCCAGGGGAAUUUUGUGAAGGGUGUGUGUGUUAUCAGUCAGGCAUCUGCUAGGGGCCCAGGGCCCCUGUUGUUUAGAUAGGGUAGCAGGGAGAAAAAGAGAAAAGGAGAUUUAGAAGACAGAAGCUACCAGGCUUCUCUUUAUUUGCCUGGCAUAUUAAUUGACUUUCACAGAGUAAUGGAUGCUGAUUUAUUUCCACCUCUCAAAUCUCAAGCACCUUCCUCUUCAGACCAACUUAAACCCCUGGAUUCUAAAAUGAAAUAGAAUAAUUAUGGGAAAUAGAGUUUCCAUUUUAAUCAAGUUUACAAUGCAGUGACCACAUACAAUCUGCCCUUUACUUCAUCUUUUAACUAUAUCUAAUAUCCAAUUAAGGACAGUAAUAAAAUGUGCUUUUAUUUACUGUGAUGUAUUUAUCUAUGGAACAACUGAAAACAUGGUAAUUUCUCCCUGGAAAAGGAUAUACAAAGUACAAAUUCAUUUGAUCUAUCUUUGGAUGAAGUUUAUUUCUCUUACAACUGGAUCUCACACCACCUUUUAUAUUUCUAACUUAAAUAUGGAAAUGUAAGAGUAUAUAAUUAACUAUUAUUAAGAUAGCUUCUGUUAGAAGGAAAUGGGAGAGAGGAGACUCACACACACACACACACACACACAUAUCAAAAUAACAAUCACAACUCAUUAUUUCUGUAACUGGGCAAGUAGUUUUAUUUACUUUCCUCUUCUACUACCCCUUCAACAUUUCCUUUGCCUUCAGCAAUUAGUGAUUGUGGUUCUUUGCAUGGUGAGGUGAUCUUAAAAAUCACCUGAAGGACUGGUGACAAAAGAAGACUGGCUUCUGGGUUCUUUUAGAUUUUCAUUAAUCUAUCACAGAACAUGUGAGAACUAAUAGAUGUACCAUAAAAUCUUCAUCCUAGACAAACUUCUCCUCAUCCUUUUUUGUUCUUGAAAACACAGUUUUUCUCUGGUAAGAAGCAUCUUAUUUUCCUGUUGGUUUUCUGGCACAAAGAAUCAAAAUAUGAAUGCAGAAAUCUCAGCUUCCACCUUAAUGAAACCACUAUUGUAUUUCUUUUCUUUUUUUAAUAUUUAUUUAUUUAUUUUAGUUGUAGAUGGAUACAAUACCUUUAUUUUAUUUAUUUAUUCAUUUUUCUGUGGUGCUGAGGAUCGAACCAAGGGCUUUGCUCGUGCUAAGUGAGCGCUCUACCAUUGAACCACAACCCCCACCCCCACUAUUAUAUUUCUUGAUGGAAAUAUUCUUCCCUUGGAAACUGAGAUAUCUAAACCAGCUGAUUUUAGAGGUGCAGGGACAGGAAACAAAAAUUGUGCUAGAUCAUUAGAGUUGAAGGAGUCAUUCCCGUUUCUGCUUCUUUAUUUCUGGAGCCAAGAAUCUUGACUGUAGAAAAAAAAUGGUACCAUAUAUUAAUUGCUGGCUCAGAGUAUGUAUCCAUCUUGGAAGAUAUUACCCAGCCUUACAUAUUCCACUUUGUGCCAGAACUGAGUCUUUUAAUGGUCAUUCCAUAUUUUAUUAGACCAGCUGCUUCUGGUUGUUAGAAAAUGAGGCAGUAUCAGUAAAUUCCUAUAUGCAAGCACCCAUACCCAGGCUUCAUUUGCUAUAAAAGGAGUUCCCUGCUCAGAAACAAUGCUGUGUGUAACAUCAUGAUGGUGAAUAAGAAUUUUUUCAAGUCCUCAAAUGUAGUUUUGGCACAAGCAUUGUGGGCAGAGAAGACAAAUCAGUAUCCAUGGUAAAUGUUUAUUCCACUGAAAAUGAAGCCCUGCUUUUUCCAUGAUGAAAAUAGUCCCGUGUAGUCAAGCUGGCGCUAAGUGCCUGGCUGUUCCAGCCAUGGAAUAGCACUGGACUCUGUUAUUUUCUGAAUUUUGGGCACUUGGCAAUGAUAUAGUCAGAUAAGGCUUGACAAGUGGAAAGCCAUGCUGUUGAGCCCACAUGUAACUUUCAUCCUUGUCUUCAUGAUCACAGUGUUCAUGAACUAAGGGUAGGGGCUGGGGUUAAGGCAGGGAAAGAUGACUAACACCUACAGAUGGUGUUACAUUGUCUAUUUAAUUAUUAAGAUCCUUUUCUACUGAAGUUGCUUUUGGUGAUUAUUUGCAUAGAUCACAAAUGUCUUCGCACUGAGUUUUCUAUAGCUCUAUAACAAACCACCUCAAACUUAGGGCUUUAAGGCAACCACCAUUUACUUGCUCAGUAUUUGGAUACCUGGUUUGGUCUCAGGUAGAAUGGCCCCCCAAUGCCCAUGUGGUACAUUGGUCAGUAGUGGUCAAUCCCAGUAGCUACUCUCCUGGGAUUGCAUGUGGAGCUAUAGUCAUAUGGAAUCUCAACCAGGACUAGAUGAUCCAAGAUAGCUUCAUUUGCAUGGCUUUUGCCUCAGCUAGAAUGGCAGCAGCACACUCUCUUGGUCUCUUUCCAAUCUAGCCUAUUCAGUAGGUUGGCCAGACUACUUGACAUGCUGUCUCAGUCUCAAAAGAGAGUGAGAGCAGUAGUUUACAAGAGCAGGCCCUAACAGACCAAGGACCUCCCUUCUGAUCCUUUUAAUGGUCCACAUCACCUUCCAAUAGCACCACCCAGGACUUUACAAAUGCUAAGCAAGUGAUCUACUACUGAGCUAAAUGCCCAGCCACAAGACUGUUGUUUUUUAUUAUCAAUUCUUAUACUCUUUCAAAGUAUAUAUACACACACACACACACACACACACACAAAAGGUAAAUGAUGUAGUUUGAAUCUGGAAUGGCCCCGAAAUGCCCAUAUAUUUAAGGGUUGGUCAGUAGUGGCACCUUUAAGAGGUGUGGAUGUUGGAAGAAAGGUAAUUGGGGGGUGUUUCCUUGAAGGGAUUAUAGGAUGCUGGUCUCUUUCUCUUUCCAGUUGCUACCAGGUGAGCAGCUUAUUCCAUCACUCAUAGGCUUAAGCAACGGUGCCACAUCUGACUUUUCUCUCUAUUUUUUUUUUGGGGGGGGGGUACCAGGGAUUGAACCCAAAGAAACUUAGCCACUGAGCUACAUCCUCAGCCAGUUUUACUUUUUAUUUUGAGACAGUGUCUCACUAAAUUGCUUAGUGCCUUGCUAAGUUGCUGAGGGUUUGUACUUAGAAUCUUCCUGUCUCAGGCUCCAGAGCUACUGGAAUUACAGGUUGCACCACUAUACCCAGCUCUUUUUUCUCAAAGUUGAUUAUUUCAAGUAGUUUGUUACAGUAGUGGAAAGCUAACACAGUACAUACAGAUAUAUUUGUACUAAACUAUUACUUUUGUAUUAUGAUACUACUUUUGUAUUACUUUCUUGUAAAAAUAUGUUAAAUUUUGUAAAACCAAACAAUAAUAAGUAUUUACUAUGUAUUUGAAUCCUAAAAAUUAUGAAAAUAAAAUAUUUGACUUCAUAA